UACAAGAUGCAGACAGAAAAACCAAGCUGA
rnacentral:piRNA from 1 species